rfam:Stegodyphus mimosarum contig51409, whole genome shotgun sequence.
GCCUUCGGGAUGUAAUGGUCAGCGCACUCGACGCGUAUUCGAGAGGUCCGAGGUUCGAGUCCCGGCUAGGGCA